GUUUCUCUUCAGAUCACAUAAACUUUCCCCUUUUACUAAAGAUUUCUGUGGAGAGGAACA
rnacentral:snRNA from 1 species